CCACGGACGUUCCCAGCACCAACACGGGGGUAACCAUCGCACCUGUUCCAGGAUGUCUCGCUGUUAUCCGCUGGGACAGCGAGGAAGUGAAAGUCCACGGGUGGGCGUGAAAGCAAACUCGAGAAGGAAAAAACUAACCGGGGGUCUGACCAGGAGGGGGGAAGAGGCUACCCUCGGGAAGGGGCUAGCAGGGUAAGUACUUGGGUGGGAGAGGCUCACUUGGAAGAGGCGCCGGCUGGAGGCAACUGCUGGGGAAGGGAGGGCUUUCGCUGGACUCCAGGGGGGAAAGGCCGGUUCAGACAGGAAAGCGCGGCUCAGAGGGGGCCCCGAGUGCCGCUCGGAAGGUGACUCUGCCCGGGGCGGGGCGCGCAGCCGGCCGGAGGGCGAGCCUCGCGCCGGGCGAGGGCUGACCGGGGGGCGAGGCUGCCGCGCGCGAGCUCCACAGCUCACCUGGGGCGCGCCGGCCCUGGAGGAGGAAACUUCCUGGGGGGACACGCGGGGGAGCGAGAGGGGCAGGCCGGCGGCGCGGGGCGCAGGGGCCGGGGGACGCGCGGCGCUGGGCUGGGCUGGACUGGACUAGGCUGGACUGGGCGGGGCCGGGCCGGGGGAGCCCCCGACCCGGGGCGGGGUCGCGGCCGCCGCGGCGCAGCUGCCGGCUCGGGAUGGCGCCGUCCCUCAGUCACACACGCGCGCGCCCGCCGGGCCGAGAGAAACCGCCCGGGUCGAGCAUGUUGCUGGAGUCCUCCAGGCAUUGAUCACCCCCAAGAAGACUUGAUAAAAUGAUGCUUUGGACCAUGGACAGCUGAAGAUGAGGCUCUGGAUUUAUAAUCCCCCUAAACGCAAGAUGAUCUUGCAGGGGAGAGCUUAGAUCAUGAACAGCUUUGUCAAUAGCCUGUCUUUCCAUCUUUCUAUCUUGCUCUAACUCCCACUCCCUCUCCCCAACCCACCCUUACGGGAAACCACAGCUACUUUUAUUUCUUUAUUUUCCAACUUUUGGAGGUGACUGUCAUAUCAGCUCUUUAUGAACACUACGUGUCUGUGAUGUCAACAUUUGGAAAUGUAGGAUGAUUAAUUGAAACUAUGAAAAAAAAAAAACAACUGUGGGGAGCUCUCUGAAUAUACAAAGAGCCAGUUUAUUUGCGUGAGACUUUGAGAAAGGCCUUCCAAAUAAAUGGUGCUAAGCUACCA
rnacentral:lncRNA from 1 species